rnacentral:tRNA from 1 species
GAGCUUAUAGUUUAAUUAGAAUAGGGGUUUUGUAAACUUCUGGUGCCUUUAUGAAGCUGAGCUUU